rnacentral:misc_RNA from 1 species
CCCAUUAUCGGAAACAUCAAUAGAAAUCACCAAAACUGCAGCAAAUUGAAAAUGCAUAACCCGAAAAGCCUCCAAUCAAUAAAACCCUAACCUCUAAGUUUUGUUCACCAUCUCCCUAAAAUCAAAAUCAGAACGAGAAAACAGUACCUGGGUAAACAGCUCCCAGAUAAUUACAAAAGAACCCUAGAAUCCACGCUCUCUGAACAGAGAAACAGAAUUUAAGGCCGUUGGAGAAGUAUUCUUUUUAAUUGGUUUUUCGUUUUUUCCAUCCAAACAGUUGCUUUAAUUUUUC